UACGUAGGGUGCAAGCGUUAAUCGGAAUUACUGGGCGUAAAGCGUGCGCAGGCGGCUUUGCAAGACAGAUGUGAAAUCCCCGGGCUUAACCUGGGAACUGCAUUUGUGACUGCAUGGCUGGAGUGCGGCAGAGGGGGAUGGAAUUCCGCGUGUAGCAGUGAAAUGCGUAGAUAUGCGGAGGAACACCGAUGGCGAAGGCAAUCCCCUGGGACAACACUGACGCUCAUGCACGAAAGCGUGGGGAGCAAACAGG
rnacentral:rRNA from 1 species